GACGAACGCUGGCGGCGUGCUUAACACAUGCCAGUCGAACGGAAAGGCCCUGCUUUUGUGGGGUGCUCGAGUGGCGAACGGGUGAGUAACACGUGAGUAACCUGCCCUUGACUUUGGGAUAACUUCAGGAAACUGGGGCUAAUACCGGAUAGGAGCUCCUGCUGCAUGGUGGGGGUUGGAAAGUUUCGGCGGUUGGGGAUGGACUCGCGGCUUAUCAGCUUGUUGGUGGGGUAGUGGCUUACCAAGGCUUUGACGGGUAGCCGGCCUGAGAGGGUGACCGGCCACAUUGGGACUGAGAUACGGCCCAGACUCCUACGGGAGGCAGCAGUGGGGAAUAUUGCACAAUGGCCGGAAGCCUGAUGCAGCAACGCCGCGUGCGGGAUGACGGCCUUCGGGUUGUAAACCGCUUUCGCCUGUGACGAAGCGUGAGUGACGGUAAUGGGUAAAGAAGCACCGGCUAACUACGUG
rnacentral:rRNA from 1 species